rnacentral:rRNA from 1 species
GACGAACGCUGGCGGCGUGCUUAACACAUGCAAGUCGAACGAAGAGCGAUGGAAGCUUGCUUCUAUCAAUCUUAGUGGCGAACGGGUGAGUAACGCGUAAUCAACCUGCCCUUCAGAGGGGGACAACAGUUGGAAACGACUGCUAAUACCGCAUACGAUCUAAUCUCGGCAUCGAGGAUAGAUGAAAGGUGGCCUCUACAUGUAAGCUAUCACUGAAGGAGGGGAUUGCGUCUGAUUAGCUAGUUGGGGGGGUAACGGCCCACCAAGGCGAUGAUCAGUAGACGACCAGAGAGGGGGAACGGCGAAACGGGAACGGAGACACGGUCCAGACGCGUACGGGAGGAAGCAGUAGGGAAUCUGCGGCAAGGGGGGAAAGCCUGACGGAGGAACGCAGCGUGAGUGAGGAAGGUAUUCGGAUCGUAAAACGCGGUUAUGAGGGAAGAAAAAAGGGGUAAGUAAAUAUGCACGACUGGACGGGACCUAAUCAGAAAGCCACGGCUAACGACGUG